rnacentral:rRNA from 1 species
UACGGAGGGGGCUAGCGUUGUUCGGAAUUACUGGGCGUAAAGCGCACGUAGGCGGCUUUUUAAGUCAGAGGUGAAAGCCCGGGGCUCAACUCCGGAAUUGCCUUUGAGACUGGAAGGCUUGAUCGUCGGAGAGGUGAGUGGAAUUCCGAGUGUAGAGGUGAAAUUCGUAGAUAUUCGGAAGAACACCAGUGGCGAAGGCGACUUACUGGACACAUAUUGACGCUGAGGUGCGAAAGCGUGGGGAGCAAACAGG